CACGCAAGAUUGUUGUUGAAACAGCUGUUUUGCUCGCGAAGGUGAACACGUGGCAAAUAUCCGGAUUUCAGCUCCUGAAGUAAUACAAGAAACUGCUGCCCCUUAAAUGUAACUGAAAAUAGGUUAGUCCUCAAAGUGACUUUCUAUUCAGUAUGUCAGAACAAGCUGAUGAAUACGAACAUUACAAUUAUGACCCUCCAAUGCGGGGUGGAGGCGCGGGCGGAAAAGGGCGGACGAAACGUGAAGCAGUGGAUAAGCAACUGUCCAACGAAAACAAACAGCAUGGAACUAAAGAUGCCAGGAAGGUAGAACAACAGAUCACAAAUGCAGAGACGAAACAGAAGGAGAAGAUGAAGAAACAAAACAGCAAGGAAUAAAGAAUAUGGGAGUUCUUUGUGAAAAACAGAGUGUUGUGGCCUAAAUCAGCUCAGGGGAUGAAGUGAGUGUCAACAUUCCACAUUGCCAGGAUCCAACGCUUUCAAGUUUGCGUCUCCAAUAACUCAUUUUCAGUUUGCUCAUUUUAAGUUUUCCAAAUCAAAAAAAUGCUUUUAUACACAGUACAUGUAUGGUAAAACAACAAGUCAUUGAACACUUUGAUCUGAUGUAAUGCUUACAGACAUCUGACUGUGUCUGCAAUGUGGAGGUCUGUUCAUAUUUGGUGUCUGCAAGAGAUGAAUUGGUCAAGUCACUUCUUUCGCUGUGUGAACUGAAACUGUUGCACAUUAAGAUGAAGUACAUAAUGAACUGACCUUCAGAUUCUCUGGCUGCCUUCACAUUAAAUUGACACUGCAUCGAUAAAGCACAGCAUUUUACAUCCCAAUAAACUAACCAGUAAGGAUGGUACUUUUGCAAUACUCUGUAACAUAACAACGUAAAUCAAAAUUAAAUGUCUUAAGCUCAUACUUUAUUUGCCAAAAUGAUUUUGUCAUAUUUUAUUUUCUUUACAAUUUGGGUCAGUUAGGAUGUUGGCAGAAUUUUGACAAGUUUUGUGUAUUUGAUUGACAACUGUAACUCAUUGAUUUCAAUACAUCAGUACUUGUGUGAAGUCGAUUUGAAUUACAAAUUCCAUUGCAAAACAGUCGUACAGCAUUGCACAAUAUUACAAUGAACAGAAGAAAAAAACCAAGGGUGGAGGAUUUAGCAUGUGAUGUGGAUAAAUAAACUUCAACUACAUGAACAUGUAUCUUAGUGUAUGGUAUUUCAAGUUUCACUCCGAAGAAAACUAGAUUUUGAUUUUAAAUUGCUGUUUUUUGUAGCAAUACAAAAGUGAUUCCGUUUUGCAUGAGACAUCGACUGAAGAAAUCAGACCAAUUGUUUAGUUAUGGAAUAAGUACUCUACAAAUUUUGCAAGGUAGACUGGCUCCCGCCCCCUUUUAGUAUUGAUGAUGUUGGGACCGUUUCCAGACCUGAUUUGUUUAAUAAUACCCAAAAGCAACCAAAAAGAAAAUCCUUUUUCCAAGGGUUGCAGAUGCCCAGAAUAGCAAAACAAUAAUUAAUUUACAUGAAACAUUCGAACGUCAAAAUUUGUACAUUUGUUGAAGAGCAUGGACAGUAUAGUUUAAAAUUAAGUUUAUUUAAGUUUUAAGUUUAAAAUAUCACUAAACCUAAUUUUGUCUGACAAAAAUACACUCCAAAAACAUCACAUUGUUCCAAGACACAAAAAAAUGCUGCUACACUUUAACUUCAUGUCAAGGGCCUUGACACAAGUUAUUAUUUGUAGUGUUUUGUGGUAUGCAACUACAUACAUGGUAUACCAUUACUGGACACUGAUAUUGAGAGUACAUGUAGCUAGGAUAUGCCACACUGCAAUACGCUUACAUGCAGAUUGAUGGAGCUGUACACACUACAGUUUUAAACAGGUGUUUUGUGGUGUCGGAGAGUAUUGUGUAGUGAAUAACCUUGAGUGUAUUAAUCAAUGAUGGCAUUUGUUUUGUGAAAGUUACACUUGUUUUGUCAAUUUAGGUUCUCUUGGAGAUGAUUCUUUACAAUAUUGUGCAUCACAAAACAAAGAUUUGUCUGAAGGCCGGUUUAUACUCAUUGCGAACGCCAACUUGUGACGUCAGGGCAAGUUUUUGCGCUGCAAAUUCGCAAAAGUUGAACACAUUUCAACUAAACUGAAUUGAGCAGCAAAUGCUUUGUGACGUCAAAUUUGCAUCGCAUUCGCAUGAAGUAUGAACUGGUUGUGUUGCAAGAGUUUGAAGAAGCUAACUUUAGUUUCUAAAAAAAAAAACAUUGCUAGAUAUUACUUCAGGAAAAAAUAGUUGUGCGACUCAGGAAAAAUCAUCCACAUUGACCAGAUUAGCCAUCACGCCUAUACGUACGCAAGAGAUUUUGUCAAUCAUGAAAUGGUUGACCACAUUGAAAAUAUAUUUGCAUUGAUAACUAUUGUAAUUUCAUCAUUAAUGUAUUAAAAAAUAUCUUGACCUGGCGAUAACAAAAUAUAUGCAUUUUGAAAUGAACUGCCUUGUCAACUGUUUUAUUAAAGAAACCGUCAAUGAAAGUGUCA
rnacentral:lncRNA from 1 species